AAAAAACUCGCAUAAAUUUGGAAGCUAAAUUGACCUUUUAAGGCCACAUUGACAUUAUUAAUAUUUUACAAUAAAGUGUCACAAAGCUCACAAAACUUAUUAUUUUAAGGGAACAAGCUCACUUAAGUUCGAUUCAUAAUGAAAUUAAGAUGCAAAUUUAUUUUAUAGUAUUUAUUAUGCAUAUUGUGUUUAAUUCCAUGAAUUGUUGGCAAGAAUUUGCCUCAUUUGAGUUGACGGAGCUUUCGUUCCUCUGAAAGCAGCUUUGCAAAUUUAGCUAUAGCUGCUUCAUUAGUAGGGGCCCCUGGAAUGCUUUCAAGCCUGCCAGUAUCCAAAUUAAUCCUUGACUCCUGCUUCUCCAGGAGCUCAGUUCCAAUUUCCACAAGCCUUUGCAAAUUCUCCUCGGUUGCUAUAUGACCUGAUGAUUCUUCACCCGUCAGCGUAUCAUCCUGAAUGCGCAGGUAAUAAUCCUCACAAUCCAAGGACUUAAAAAGGGCAGAGAGAUGGAAGUCAACCAUAUCUGAGCUAGCAUUACUAAAUAUGUCAACCGCUGGUGAAUUGCCGUUGUAAAGGGCCCAAUUAUACAAACGCCAUUUAGAUGUCAUGUCUGCAUUGUAUUUUUCUUUGUACUCGGAUUUGCCAGUUCCCAGUGAUAGCACUAGCCUGCUCUUGCUCUCCGUCAAGUUUGCACCAAUGAACCGAGGAUUUUGCCUAAUGAUCUCGUUGCGGAUGUGGGUUAGUGCUAGUAGUGUAGGAUUGGUCGCAGCAACCCCACCAUCAAUGAGUUCAAAAGUGUGAAUAUUUUUAUCAUCCUCGGUGGUAAAGGAAUGUGCUGGUAAGAGAACUGGAGCUGCAGAGGUGCUGAUGCAGACAUCAGCUAGCCUAGCAUUUUUCAGAGCAUUACAUUUCGCAUCAUCAGAUGAGAAGAUGACUGGGAGAAGAAGCUUGAUGUCAAAUGUAGGUAUAAUCACAUCUGUCAAGGUAUCUUUUACGGUCAAGUCCUUGAGCAAAUUGUUACACAAUUCUCGCAGAUAUUCUCCAUCAUAAAUGGGUCCUAUUGAAUGGAUAGGAUCGUACGUAUCUCGACUGUUUAAUCCAUAGAAGAAUCGAAAAACCAUUAAUUUAUUCAUUCGAAGUAAUGCAAAAAAGAAGAAAGAAGUUAAUUAGUAAUUAAAAACUUGGAAAAAUUUCACCUUUCCUUUGGGAAAAUCUUGGGGCAGUUUUCCAAAUAAAAGUCCUUUAUGUCUUUUGCUUGGUACAUAGGUUUUUUAUCCUCGUUUGGAGCUGUAAGCAUGGUGGUUAUCAGCCCACCGGUACUUGUCCCUGCAAUUAUAUCAAAAUAAUCUGCAAUUCUUGCAUCUGGUCCAUCCAGAUCCUGAAGCUUGGAUUCAAGGGAAGCAAGAAUGAUACCAGGAAUGAUCCCUCUAAUCCCACCUCCAUCAAUGCUUAACACUGUUAUCUUCUUUCCUUGCGUCAAAGUAGUACUACCAGUAGCCAUGUUGCUGUCAAGAGAACUUAAUUCUCUGUCCUCGUAUAGCAAAUUAAUUAAUACCAAUUGUGAAUGUGAAUGUAGUUGUGCAUGAAGCUUUGGUAUAUAUAGUAUGGUCGAUGCAUGAACAGUAACAUCAUGGAUGUCCAACAUAGACUUAAG
rnacentral:misc_RNA from 1 species